GUGGGGAAUAUUGGACAAUGGGGGGAACCCUGAUCCAACCAUGCCGCGUGUGUGAAGAAGGCCUUUUGGUUGUAAAGCACUUUAAGCGAGGAGGAGGCUACCGAGAUUAAUACUCUUGGAUAGUGGACGUUACUCGCAGAAUAAGCACCGGCUAACUCUGUGCCAGCAGCCGCGGUAAUACAGAGGGUGCAAGCGUUAAUCGGAUUUACUGGGCGUAAAGCGCGCGUAGGUGGCCAAUUAAGUCAAAUGUGAAAUCCCCGAGCUUAACUUGGGAAUUGCAUUCGAUACUGGUUGGCUAGAGUAUGGGAGAGGAUGGUAGAAUUCCAGGUGUAGCGGUGAAAUGCGUAGAGAUCUGGAGGAAUACCGAUGGCGAAGGCAGCCAUCUGGCCUAAUACUGACACUGAGGUGCGAAAGCAUGGGGAGCAAACAGGAUUAGAAACCCCGGUAGUCC
rnacentral:rRNA from 1 species